AGAGUUUGAUCCUGGCUCAGAAUGAACGCUGGCAGCGUGCCUAAAACAUGCAAGUCGUACGAGAAAGUUUCCUUCGGGAAGUAAGUAAAGUGGCGCACGGGUGAGUAACACGUAGGUAACCUACCUUUGAGCGGGGGACAACACCGGGAAACUGGUGCUAAUACCCCAUAAGCUCACGAGAUUAUUUCUAGUGAGAAAAGAUGCCCUAUCCAUGGAAGGUGUCACUCUUAGAUGGGCCUGCGUACCAUUAGCUUGUUGGUGAGGUAACGGCUCACAAAGGCUGAGAUGGUUAGUUGGUCUGAGAGGAUGACCAGCCACACUGGAACUGAGACACGGUCCAGACUCCUACGGGAGGCAGCAGUUAGGAAUAUUGCACAAUGGGGGAAUCCCUGAUGCAGCGACGCUGCGUGAGUGAGGAAGGCCCUCGGGUCGUAAAGCUCUGUCAGGAGGGAAGAAACCGGCAAGCAUCAGAUCCUUGCCCUUGACGGUACCUCCAAAGGAAGCACCGGCUAACUCUGUGCCAGCAGCCGCGGUAAUACAGAGGGUGCGAGCGUUGUUCGGAAUUACUGGGCGUAAAGAGCAUGUAGGCGGUAUUGUUAGUCAGAUGUGAAAGCCCACGGCUCAACCGUGGAAUUGCAUUUGAAACUACAAAACUAGAGUUCGGUAGAGGGAAGCGGAAUUCCCAGUGUAGGAGUGAAAUCCGUAGAUAUUGGGAGGAACACCGGUGGCGAAGGCGGCUUCCUGGACCGAAACUGACGCUGAGAUGCGAAAGCGUGGGUAGCAAACAGGAUUAGAUACCCUGGUAGUCCACGCCGUAAACGAUGGAUACUAGAUGUAGCGGGUAGUUGACCCCUGCUGUGUCGCAGUUAACGCAUUAAGUAUCCCGCCUGGGGAGUACGGUCGCAAGAUUAAAACUCAAAGGAAUUGACGGGGACCCGCACAAGCGGUGGAGCAUGUGGUUUAAUUCGAGGCCACGCGAAGAACCUUACCUGGAUUUGACAUCCUUGGACAACCAUAGAAAUAUGGCCUUUUACUUCGGUAAACCGAGUGACAGGUGCUGCAUGGCUGUCGUCAGCUCGUGUUGUGAGAUGUUGGGUUAAGUCCCGCAACGAGCGCAACCCCUGCCCUCUGUUGCCAGCAUUAAGUUGGGCACUCUGAGGGGACUGCCAGUGAUAAACUGGAGGAAGGUGGGGAUGACGUCAAGUCCUCAUGGCCUUUAUAUCCAGGGCUACACACGUGCUACAAUGGCCGGUACAAAGGGCUGCGAACUUGCGAGAGUAAGCAAAUCCCAGAAAGCCGAUCUCAGUUCGAAUAGGAGUCUGCAACUCGACUCCUUGAAGUUGGAAUCGCUAGUAAUCGUGGAUCAGCAUGCCACGGUGAAUACGUUCCCGGGUCUUGUACACACCGCCCGUCACACCACGAAAGCUGAUUGGACCAGAAGUCAUUAAGCUAACCCUCACGGGAGGCAGAUGCCCAAGGUCUGGUUGGUAAUU
rnacentral:rRNA from 1 species